rnacentral:lncRNA from 14 species
GCUCCUGUAGUUACUUUCGAACCUUGCUUGCCCUGUGGCUGACAAGUCAUCUUCUUUUUGGACAUUCUUGGGAUCUUCGAAUCGGGUUCACAUAAGGAAGAGUUUUUCCUGGAUGCAGAAAUCUGUGGUUCUUGUGACAUUUUUAGGCACAUCAGCUGGUUCACACAGCCCUUCAGAACAGACCCGAGGCUGCAGCACGUCCAUCAGUGCCUGGGCACUUGCACCAUGGGACCGACAGGCUCUAGGAGUGUGUCAGGACCACGAGAAGCAGAGCAGGGAGGGCAGGGAAGAGCAGUAAAGUGACCUCUUGACUGUACCUCGAGCCCUGCCCUCCUCCAGUACCUGUUUCACCUUGCUGGAUGCUUCCAGGAGAUACCUAGUCCUGUGUGAGCACUGAGCUUUGCCUUUAGAUGAAAGCCAGAGGUGGCUGGAUGCUGCUCACCCAGCCCUGCAAGAGGUAAAUCUGGAAGGGGCAGUAACCCAUUGAACCCUAUGGCUCCGCUGUAUUUCCCAACAGGUAGCUCUGUAUUUUUCUCCUUCUCCUUCUUCU